ensembl:lncRNA
GCUUUUGGAUUUCCACUGGGCUGUACCUAUGGUUAUGAGAGCGAUAAAUCAAGUACAAUACCUAGGUCGACCUGUGAUGAGCAGCAAAACACCGGAAAGCUUCUAGCCUACCAGAAAGUUACAAGAAGAACAAGAACGGUUACCUCAUCCGGUCAUGUGGCAUUUAUUGUUUAAAGAUUUUUCGCGCCACGCUAGACAUCUGGAUGCUGGACAGAUAACAGGAGAGGGACCCUAGGAGGGGUGUAAAGGAGUUGAUGAAAUCCUGUGAAGACAGAAAAUCAGAUGGUGUGGCCUGUGAGGACCCCCCCAAG